CCUGCCCUGAGAACAGUCUUGAUUUCCACUAAUGCGAUGCUCGGCGCCAAACGGUCUGUGAGGGAAGACGCAUGAGAAAAUAAGCUUUCUGUUCUACUCGAGCUAUUUUAUUAGUCAUUUUCUUGGAAAAGUCACCUAAAUAUUUUUGAGCAGCUGCUAGUAACAUCCAAAGGUCAUACGGCCUUGUCCUCUGCCCUUCAUAUGAGACCUGACACUGGACGAACCUCUCGUCUGUUCCCUCUCCCCUCCAGAGAGCAAGGCGCUGACUUUCUGACUGCCGUGUUCAUUGAAGGCCUGGCACUGGUAGAGAGCAGAGUCUGCUAGCAGGGCAGAGGAGAGGGUGAAGGAGGUGG